AACGAACGCUGGCGGCAUGCCUAACACAUGCAAGUCGAACGACACCUUCGGGUCUAGUGGCGCACGGGUGCGUAACGCGUGGGAACCUGCCCUUAGGUUCGGAAUAACUCCCCGAAAUGGGUGCUAAUACCGGAUAAUGUCUUCUGACCAAAGAUUUAUCGACUUUGGAUGGGCCCGCGUUGGAUUAGCUAGUUGGUAGGGUAAAAGCCUACCAAGGCGACGAUCCAUAGCUGGUCUGAGAGGAAGAGCAGCGACACUGGGACUGAGACACGGCCCAGAAUCCUACGGGAGGCAGCAGUGGGGAAUAUUGGACAAUGGGCGAAAGCCUGAUCCAGCAAUGCCGGGUGAGUGAUGAAGGCGUUAGGGUUGUAAAGCUCUUUUACCCGGGAUGAUAAUGACAGUACCGGGAGAAUAAGCUCCGGCUAACUCCGUG
rnacentral:rRNA from 1 species